GAGGGUAUAGCAUAUGCCUAGCAUGCAUGAAGUCCUGGGUUCAAUCCCCAGUACCUCCA
rnacentral:tRNA from 1 species